AUGAUUGAAUAACAACAGAUUUUACAUAA
rnacentral:sRNA from 1 species